rnacentral:hammerhead_ribozyme from 1 species
AUCCAUCUAACAAGUCCUAAAUAGGACGAAACGCGUGUCCUGAAU